rnacentral:tRNA from 1 species
AGAGUGUAAGGAAAUCCAUGACUUCUAAUCACAGGUAAGUACGGUUCGAGUCCGUACACACUCUU